UUGGUCCAGUCCAUUGAUUGUGAAAUUUGUAAUUAAGUAAGAGUUUCAGAAUGACCUGUGUCUAUCAAGUCAACUUUUCUCUUUUAUUCACCAUUAAUAUUUUACCUUGCAGUUAACACUCACUGGUGUGAUAGAGAGGAGGAGGUGUAAUUUAUUAGAUUGAUGUACUCAACUCAUUGCUCAGAUGUAACUGUCUACGAUAAACAACCAGGGAAAUAUUUGGUAAAUGGCAGAGGAAAUCUUGACCUGCAGACCUUGACAUAAUUGUAGACAUACUGAAAAUCUAAGGAUCUAUGGAAAACGGAAAUGCCAGCUACGAACUGCCAGCAUGGAAAUAACAGAAAACGACGAUGAGAGGUCAUUCCAAAAACCAAACGCCGUGCGGGACAGGAUGGCGUUGUCGUCUGAAUAUAAGAGCUGGUGUGUCGCUGUCCUUCAUGUACAAUUUACUUAAGUUGUUGCAUAAAGAAGCGAUAAUCGUGGAAAGCCAAGUGAGUCUUGUAUCAGAAACGGAGCUUCGGUGAUUGCAACAAACUACCUACCGAUCAAUGCAGUCGCAGAUAUUCAAAGCUUGGGACGGC